rnacentral:rRNA from 1 species
AGUGAACGCUGGCGGUAGGCCUAACACAUCCAAGUCGAACGGCAGCACAGUAAGAGCUUGCUCUUACGGGUGGCGAGUGGCGGACGGGUGAGGAAUACAUCGGAAUCUACUUUUUCGUGGGGGAUAACGUAGGGAAACUUACGCUAAUACCGCAUACGACCUACGGGUGAAAGCAGGGGAUCUUCGGACCUUGCGCGAUUGAAUGAGCCGAUGUCGGAUUAGCUAGUUGGCGGGGUAAAGGCCCACCAAGGCGACGAUCCGUAGCUGGUCUGAGAGGAUGAUCAGCCACACUGGAACUGAGACACGGUCCAGACUCCUACGGGAGGCAGCAGUGGGGAAUAUUGGACAAUGGGCGCAAGCCUGAUCCAGCCAUACCGCGUGGGUGAAGAAGGCCUUCGGGUUGUAAAGCCCUCUUGUUGGGAAAGAAAAGCAGCAGGUUAAUACCCCGCUGUUCUGACGGUACCCAAAGAAUAAGCACCGGCUAACUUCGUG